rnacentral:rRNA from 1 species
AAGUUGGGUACUCUAUUGAGACUGCCGCUGACAAGGCGAGGAAGGUGGGGACGACGUCAAGUCAUCAUGGCCCUUACGACCAGGGCUACACACGUGCUACAAUGGGUAUUACAGAGGGCUGCGAAGGUGCGAGCUGGAGCGAAACUCAAAAAGGUACUCUUAGUCCGGAUUGCAGUCUGCAACUCGACUGCAUGAAGUCGGAAUCGCUAGUAAUCGCAGGUCAGAAUACUGCGGUGAAUACGUUCCCGGGUCUUGUACACACCG